rnacentral:lncRNA from 1 species
GCGACUUGCUUAGAAACACAAAGUUUAUCGCGACACGUGGGUGUAGACUCGCCUCAGAACUACGGUUUGCCGCAAAGCUGGCCCGCCAGCGAAGGGGGAGGAAAAGCCCGGGCAUUUCAGAACACGGCAGAGCAUCAAUUUCCUGCUUGCAGAAUUGCCGUGCCGGCUCAGCCACACCGCCCGCGAGGGGUAAAUCCCAGGCAAGCGGCAGCCUCGGCUCUGAGGCACCGCGAACAAGGAGCCCUCAGAGCCCCAUCACCGGCCCUGCCGCCUUCAUCGCGCUGCCCCCGCGGCCCCGCCUGUGACCCUGCUCCAGCGAGCCCUCCCUGCCGGUUCUGCUACCGACUCGGCCGCGGGCCUCGCUCACCCCUGUCCAGAAUCCCUCCCCGCUCCCGCUGCCCCACUCGCUCACCCCUGUCCAGAAUCCCUCCCCGCUCCCGCUGCCCCACUCGCUCACCCCUGUCCAGAAUCCCUCCCCGCUCCCGCUGCCCCACUCGCUCACCCCUGUCCAGAAUCCCUCCCCGCUCCCGCUGCCCCACUCGCUCACCCCUGUCCAGAAUCCCUCCCCGCUCCCGCUGCCCCACUCGCUCACCCCUGUCCAGAAUCCCUCCCCGCUCCCGCUGCCCCACUCGCUCACCCCUGUCCAGAAUCCCUCCCCGCUCCCGCUGCCCCACUCGCUCACCCCUGUCCAGAAUCCCUCCCCGCUCCCGCUGCCCCACUCGCUCACCCCUGUCCAGAAUCCCUCCCCGCUCCCGCUGCCCCACUCGCUCACCCCUGUCCAGAAUCCCUCCCCGCUCCCGCUGCCCCACUCGCUCACCCCUGUCCAGAAUCCCUCCCCGCUCCCGCUGCCCCACUCGCUCACCCCUGUCCAGAAUCCCUCCCCGCUCCCGCUGCCCCACUCGCUCACCCCUGUCCAGAAUCCCUCCCCGCUCCCGCUGCCCCACUCACUCACCCCUGUCCAGAGUCGCUCCCCGGUCCCGCUGCCCCACUCGCUCACCCCUGUCCAGAGCCACCGAUCCCCGCCACGGUCAAAUUUUGGCGCCGAGCGUCGCAGCCGUUAGGGGAGGUGCCUGA